AGCGAGAUCGAGAGAUGGAGCAAAUCCCAAAAAUAAACGUCCCAGUUCGGACUGUAGUCUGCAACCCGACUACACGAAGCUGGAAUCGCUAGUAAUCGCGGAUCAGAAUGCCGCGGUGAAUACGUUCCCGGGUCUUGUACACACCGCCCGUCACACCAUGGGAGUCAGUAACGCCCGAAGUCAGUGACCUAACCGAAAGGGGGGAGCUGCCGAAGGCGGGACGGAUGACUGGGGUGAAGUCGUAACAAGGUACC
rnacentral:rRNA from 1 species